rnacentral:rRNA from 1 species
AUUGAACGCUGGCGGCAGGCCUAACACAUGCAAGUCGAACGAGUGGCGGACGGGUGAGUAAUGUCUGGGAAACUGCCUGAUGGAGGGGGAUAACUACUGGAAACGGUAGCUAAUACCGCAUACCAUCGGAUGUGCCCAGAUGGGAUUAGCUUGUUGGUGGGGUAAAGGCUCACCAAGGCGACGAUCCCUAGCUGGUCUGAGAGGAUGAUCAGUCACACUGGAACUGAGACACGGUCCAGACUCCUACGGGAGGCAGCAGUGGGGAAUAUUGGACAAUGGGGGCAAGCCUGAUCCAGCCAUGCCGCGUGUGUGAAGAAGGUCUUCGGAUUGUAAAGUACUUUCAGUUGGGAGGCGUUACCCGCAGAAGAAGCACCGGCUAACUUCGUGCCAGCAGCCGCGGUAAUUC